rnacentral:rRNA from 1 species
UACGGAGGGUCCAAGCGUUAUCCGGAAUCAUUGGGCUUAAAGGGUCCGUAGGCGGUUUUGUAAGUCAGUGGUGAAAGCCCAUCGCUCAACGGUGGAACGGCCAUUGAUACUGCAAAACUUGAAUUAUUGGGAAGUAACUAGAAUAUGUAGUGUAGCGGUGAAAUGCUUAGAUAUUACAUGGAAUACCAAUUGCGAAGGCAGGUUACUAUCAAUAUAUUGACGCUGAUGGACGAAAGCGUGGGGAGCGAACAGG